rnacentral:rRNA from 1 species
AUUGAACGCUGGCGGCAUGCUUUACACAUGCAAGUCGAACGGCAGCGCGGGCUUCGGCCUGGCGGCGAGUGGCGAACGGGUGAGUAAUACAUCGGAACGUGCCCAGUAGUGGGGGAUAGCUCGGCGAAAGCCGGAUUAAUACCGCAUACGACCUGAGGGUGAAAGCGGGGGAUCUUCGGACCUCGCGCUAUUGGAGCGGCCGAUGGCAGAUUAGCUAGUUGGUGGGGUAAAGGCCUACCAAGGCGACGAUCUGUAGCUGGUCUGAGAGGACGACCAGCCACACUGGGACUGAGACACGGCCCAGACUCCUACGGGAGGCAGCAGUGGGGAAUUUUGGACAAUGGGCGAAAGCCUGAUCCAGCAAUGCCGCGUGUGUGAUGAAGGCCUUCGGGUUGUAAAGCACUUUUGGCGGGAACGAAAAGGACUGUGCCAAUACCACGAUUCGAUGACGGUACCCGCAGAAUAAGCACCGGCUAGCUACGUG